rnacentral:rRNA from 1 species
AUGAUUUGGUUAUGUGUUUCUCUUAAUUUUGAUGCAAAUAGGUUGACACAAGAGAUUGUGAAAAAUAUCCCCAAAGUUAAUGAUGAAAAAGAGAAUGCUAGUGAAGAAGAACUCAUCGAACAUAGAUUAAAGCAUAAGAGGUUCUUGCUAGUCUUGGAUGAUGUGUGGACAUAUCACGAGGAUGAGUGGAAAAAACUGUUAGCUCCGUUCAGAAAAGGAGAGGCAAGAGGUAACAUGGUUAUUGUCACAACUCGAAUCCUAGAGGCAGUAACAAUGGUAAAAACAGUGGAUUAUUCAAUAGAACUCAAUCGCUUAGGAACUGAAGAUUUUAUGCAUUUGUUUGAAGCAUAUAUAUUUGGUCACCAACAGCCAUGGAAAGACUAUCCUGAAUUACUUGAUGUUGGAAGAGCAAUAGUGGGGCAUCUGAAGGGUUUCCCUCUUGCAGCAAAAACUGUAGGUAGAUUACUAAGAAACCAACUUACAUUGGACAGUUGGACAAGUGUUCUUGAAAGCAAAGAAUGGGAGUUACAAACCAGCGACUAUGACAUUAUGCCAGCUCUAAAGCUUAGUUAUGAUUAUCUCCCUUUCCAUCUGCAACAAUGUUUUUCCUAUGGUGCUUUGUUUCUUGAAGAUUAUGAGCAAAGAGUUGGUUCAAUUAUGGAUAGGGCUGGAUAUUUUAGAUUCAUGUGA